GAUGAGCCUAGGUCGGAUUAGCUAGUUGGUGAGGUAAUGGCUCACCAAGGCGACGAUCCGUAACUGGUCUGAGAGGAUGAUCAGUCACACUGGAACUGAGACACGGUCCAGACUCCUACGGGAGGCAGCAGUGGGGAAUAAUGGACAAUGGGCGAAAGCCUGAUCCAGCCAUGCCGCGUGUGUGAAGAAGGUCUUCGGAUUGUAAAGCACAUUAAGUUGGGAGGAAGGGUUGUAGAUUAAUACUCUGCAAUUUUGACGUUACCGACAGAAUAAGCACCGGCUAACUCUGUGCCAGCAGCCGCGGUCAUACAGAGGGUGCAAGCGUUAAUCGGAAUUACUGGGCGUAAAGCGCGCGUAGGUGGUUUGUUA
rnacentral:rRNA from 1 species